UUGGAGGGCAAGUCUGGUGCCAGCAGCCGCGGUAAUUCCAGCUCCAAUAGCGUAUAUUAAAGUUGUUGUGGUUAAAAAGCUCGUAGUUGAACCUUGGGCCUGGCUGGCCGGUCCGCCUCACCGCGUGUACUGGUCCGGCCGGGCCUUUCCCUCUGUGGAACCCCAUGCCCUUCACUGGGUGUGGCGGGGAAACAGGACUUUUACUUUGAAAAAAUUAGAGUGCUCCAGGCAGGCCUAUGCUCGAAUACAUUAGCAUGGAAUAAUAGAAUAGGACGUGUGGUUCUAUUUUGUUGGUUUCUAGGACCGCCGUAAUGAUUAAUAGGGACAGUCGGGGGCAUCAGUAUUCAAUUGUCAGAGGUGAAAUUCUUGGAUUUAUUGAAGACUAACUACUGCGAAAGCAUUUGCCAAGGAUGUUUUCAUUAAUCAGGAACGAAAGUUAGGGGAUCGAAGACGAUCAGAUACCGUCGUAGUCUUAACCAUAAACUAUGCCGACUAGGGAUCGGACGAUGUUAUUUUUUGACUCGUUCGGCGCCUUACGGGAAAC
rnacentral:rRNA from 1 species